rnacentral:lncRNA from 1 species
AAUCUAAACAGUCCAUCAUCUAAAAUCCUAAAAUCAGGAAAUUCAUCUAAAGAGAACUUGCCUAAAUUCUUGAUGAGUUCCUGAUCCAUGGACUGAGCUUCCCAAAUCUUCAUGAAGAGAUCCGGCAAGGCUCGAAUCUGAGCGAGAUAGGUACUUUACCAUAGUAGCUGAGCUGGAGCGACUGCAUAUCAUGAAUUAACUUCUAACUGGAGGCCAUGGUUUAGGCCAACACUGCGGGACUCCUUUCUGCUUAGUGCA